rnacentral:rRNA from 1 species
GAUGAACGCUGGCGGCGUGCCUAAUACAUGCAAGUCGAGCGAACAGACGAGGAGCUUGCUCCUCUGACGUUAGCGGCGGACGGGUGAGUAACACGUGGAUAACCUACCUAUAAGACUGGGAUAACUUCGGGAAACCGGAGCUAAUACCGGAGAAUAUAUUGAACCGCAUGGUUCAAUAGUGAAAGACGGUUUUGCUGUCACUUAUAGAUGGAUCCGCGCCGCAUUAGCUAGUUGGUAAGGUAACAGCUUACCAAGGCAACGAUGCGUAGCCGACCUGAGAGAGGGAUAGCCCACAUUGGAACUGGACCACGGUCAAGACUCCUAAGGGAGGGCGCAGAAGCGAACCUUACGCAAUGGGCGAAAGCCUUACGGAGCAACGCCGCGUGAGUGAUGAAGGUCUUCGGAUCGGAAAACUCUGUUAUUAGGGAAGAACCAAUGUGUAAGUAACUAUGCACGUCUUGACGGUACCUAAUCAGAAAGCCACGGCUAACUACGUG